UUUGUGAAGCUUUCUGAGAUUUUGUGUGUUUCUGUAGUGUUUCAUGCUCAUUACACAAACACACAAAAUCACACCAAGCUGAAUGUGACAUUUUGUGCUUUUGAUACUUGGUUUUGUGAGUUUUCUGUGACUGAGUUUCCUGCUUGUUGUUACAGGGGACAUUUUGUGUGCUUUUACAUUGUGUGAGAGUUGCACAAUGGCAUUGUGUUUUUGUUAGGUGUUAAAGUUGCUUUUUGAGCUCUUUGUGGCUCUGUGAAUUUGCUGCUUGUGACAGGGACCAUUUUGUGUGCUUUUGCAAUUCUGCUUGGGCAGAGAGUUGGACUAGAUGACCUCCAAGGUCCCUUCCAACUCUGUUAUGUCUCUUAAGUCUGUUGCAGGGGCCAGUUUCUGUGAGUACAGCUGUUUUGGCAUUGUGUGUGAGUUGCACAAUGUUGUAUUGUGAGUGUGUUUUACAGUGUUGUGAGUCAGUUGUGUUGUUUUUGUAUAAAGUUUGUAUAAAGUUGCUUUCUGAGCUCUUUGUGGCUCUAUGAGUUUCCUGCUUGUGGCAGGGGCUCUUUUGUGUGAGGUGUAGCUGCUUCUGCAUUGUGUUGCUUUUGUAUUGUUUUGGGGUUAAAACCAGUUUCUUUGUUUUUGUUUUUUGUUUGCUUUUGUAUUGCUCCCAUCACUGAUCCUCAGCUAACAAAGUGUAAACCAAUUAUAUUUUUCCAAAAUAUUUUUUCAUGUGCCUGCUGAAACAUCCAAGAAGUCUUUGACAAACCAGAGACAGGUGGCUGUGUGCUUCCUAGAAACCCAUCGCUCAGCCUAUGAUCCCAGAAUCAAGAUCAAGAAAAAUGGAAGUGAGGAAAGUGCCAAUGAGAAAUCGAUAUGGAAACAUCUUAAAGUGAAAGAUGACUAACACUUUUAUAUAAGUAUUUGUGUACCUCUAUUAUUGUUUUGUAUACUUCUUUUAUUAUUAUUUAAGUAUAAAUUUGUAUAUUGUGGUAUAUCUUCUUUUUGUAGGUCAUUAUUAUCAUUGGUGCAUCGAAGAGAACACUUUUAUUGCUCCUAUGUAGGUAUGUUUACAUAAAUAUUCUUCAUUAUUCUUAUUUAAGUAUUAAAUUUUCUUUUUGUAGGUGAAAGGGAAAAGAAGGGAUGUCGACUUGGCCAUGCCUACCUGGUCACAUGCCCACCAAGCCACACCCACCAAGCCAUGCCCACAGAACCGGUAGGGAAAUUUUUUAGAUUUUACUACUGCGGAAAUCUUUAGCUGUUGCCGAAAUGAUGCUGAUGUGAAUAUCAGAUGAGAUUUUCUGGGGAUAAAUUUUAUAAAUGAAUGCAACAUUGCAACAAAAAAAAAACCUCUACUGGGAGAGAAAAAUAUAAGACACAAAGUUGAAUUUCAGUGUUUUUAGAUAAUGUUCAACUGUGUCCAAUACAAUCAAAUACUUCUCUAUUUAUUGCCUGAUUAUCAGUCAUGUGCAAUUUAAGACAUGAACAAUGUGCUGCAACUAUUUAGCAAGGGAAACAGGAUAUUUAGUCCUUCAUUAUGUACUUAAUCCUGACUGCUUGUUAAUUAUUGUUCAUUUGUUUCUUCAGCCAGAAUUACUAUGAAAUAAAGUACACCACUCCACAAUAUUAAUCAUAGAACAUAGAAUAAAAGGGUUGGAAGGGACCUUGAAGGUCUUUUAGUUCAACCUCUUGAUUGAGAAAGAGACCCUAUGCCGGUAAUGGUUAACCUUUUCAGCACUGAGUGGCCAUGCAUGCAUGAUUACUGGAGCGCCAGAGCACUAGAUCCCGGAAAAGAGCAGCUGGCUGGUGUGCAUGUGCACAGUGACAAGCUGCUCUUCUGGCUUCCGUUGCAUGCCUGUGCACUGGACAGCUGAUCCAGCAUGCAUGCGCACCAGACAGCUGCUCUCUUCUGGAUUCUGGCCCAUGCAUGCGCACCAGUCAGUUUGUCUUUGUGAGAACACCAGCCAUUUGGAGCUCAUGUGUGCAAUAGAACCUGGAAGAGCAAUUGGCGAUGGCUUGUGUGCCAUAGGUUUGCCAUCAUGGCCCUAUACCAUUCCAGACAAAUGGCUCUUGAGUCUCAUACUUUGAACAUUACUGUAUACCACCUGAGUCUUUUGACUGAUGUUGCAUUUGUCUUUUAUGUUUCCUGUUUUAUAUCUCAGUUCCCUUUCCUUCACACUAAUCCUUAUGUAUUGUUUCAUUGCUUGUCUUGAGGUUCAUGCUUGGGAUUAACUCCUAAAGACUAGUCUCCCUCCUCUUCCAGUUUUAGUUUAAAGUCCUUUGGAUAAGACUAGCUAGUUAUUUUCCAACCAUGUUCUUGACAGUUCUUAUGAUAUGUUGCCCAUCCCUUGCCAGAAACUCUUCAUAUAGAUCUAGGAAUUCAAAGGACUCUUGAGUUCAAUAUCCCUUAAGUCAGUGAUUUACUUCUAAAAUCCCUGUUUCCUCAUUGGAUGUUGAUUCCAACAGAAGAACAAUAUCCAAUUCUUGGCUCCUAUCUCUUUAGCUUGCAUGCCAAGAUGCUCAUAGCCUCCUGAUAUUGCUUUUAGGCUUUUUGUCAUAUUAUCCCUCCUCAUAUAACACAGGGGAAAAUGAUAACAAUCUGUCAAUUUAAUAAUUUUAGUAAGUCUGGUAAUCAAAAUAAGUCAUAUCUUUGAUGUUUGUGCCUGGGUAGGAGCAUAGCUCUCUUGACAGAUUGUCCAGUUUACAAUCUGAUGGUUCCAGUUCUCUAAGUAAUAAGUAUCCUUUUACCAACACACCCUUUUUUUUCUAGGGGAAGUCUGGUCUACUUUUCUUCCUAUCACUGGUAUACUUAAUGCUGUCCCUUCUCCAGGUGUCAGCACGCUUUCUUUCAGGAGGAAGAUAUGAAAUUGAUAGCUCAGCUACAGCAGAGCAGGACUGGAUUGGACUGGCCUGGACCAUUGGUCUAUCUCUAACAGCCAUUUAUUUUCUGGUGUUGGACACUUCCUUCCUUGGCCAUAUUGCUUAGACUGCAGAAAAAACAUCUGGCUGUUUAAUAUUCAACCAGCACUACGGAAAAGACCAUCAAACAGGAGGAGGAGGAGCUUGGGUGGACGGUCUUAUGCUGGAUCCAAUUACUGGUUUCAACAAGCUACAAUGAAAUACUGGAUCUCAACUCUACUAGAUCCAAACAGAGAUGGAAAGAGAGCAGUCAUGUAUCUUAAUUAUGUAACAUUAUUGUGUAAAACAAUUUAUUUUGGAAUUACCGUUGUGUUGUAAAAUUUUAUCUUUUAAAAAUUAUAUUAAUUUGCCACCCUUUUCCCAAAACAUUUUGGAUCUUAAAGCAUGAGUUGUAAGAACUUUGUCCCCAGUUUUUUAAGGAGAAUUAAGGAGAAACUUUCUAACAGUGAGGACAAUUAAUUGGUGAGGCAUUCUGCCUUCAGAAGUUGUGGG